rnacentral:rRNA from 1 species
CAAUAGCGUAUAUUAAAGUUGUUGCAGUUAAAAAGCUCGUAGUUGGAUUUGUGGCGUACGGUGUGUUCCGGGCACUUGUUGUCUGAGUAACCUGCUGUUGCCAUCCUUGGGUGGAACCUGUGUGGCAUUAGGUUGUCGUGCAGGGGAUGCCCAUCAUUUACUGUGAAAAAAUUAGAGUGUUCAAAGCAGGCUUAUGCCGUUGAAUAUAUUAGCAUGGAAUAAUGAGAUAGGACUUUUUUGCUAUUUUGUUGGUUUGCGCAAAGGGGUAAUGAUUAAUAGGGACAGUUGGGGGUAUUCGUAUUCCAUUGUCAGAGGUGAAAUUCUUGGAUUUUUGGAAGACGAACUACUGCGAAAGCAUUUACCAAGGAUGUUUUCAUUAA